CGAAUGAAGCGGCAAGAGCCCAAAUUUGAAAUCAGGCCCUCGUGGCUUGAGUUGUAAUUUGGAGACGGGAUACUAGAGAGAGGGAGGGCGACUAAGUGCCUUGGAACAGGCUGCCGUAGAGGGUGAGAGCCCCGUGAGUCGCGUGAACUYGAUCAAUUAGUGCCCGCCGAAGAGUCGAGUUGUUUGGGAAUGCAGCUCUAAGUGGGUGGUAUAUUCCAUCUAAGGCUAAAUAUUAGCGAGAGACCGAUAGCAAACAAGUACAGUGAUGGAAAGAUGAAAAGAACUUUGGAAAGAGAGUGAAAUAGUACGUGAAAUUGUUGAAAGGGAAGGGUAUUUGAUCCGACAUGGUGUUUAGCAGCGGCCCGUUCCUCGUGGAUGGGUGCACCUGGUUUACACUGGGCCAGCAUCGGUUCUGGGAGCCAUAUACGGGGCAGGCGAAUGUGGCCCUUCGAUUCUGUCGGAGGGUGUUAUAGCGCCAGCCAGACGUGGCUAUCCG
rnacentral:rRNA from 1 species